rnacentral:rRNA from 1 species
AUUGAACGCUGCGGCAGGCUUAACACAUGCAAGUCGAGCGAGCGGCGGACGGGUGAGUAAUGAUUAGGAAUCUGCCUAUUAGUGGGGGACAACAUCUCGAAAGGGAUGCUAAUACCGCAUACUUAUAGAUGAGCCUAGUCGGAUUAGCUAGUUGGUGGGGUAACGGCUCACCUAGGCGACGAUCCCUAGCUGGUCUGAGAGGAUGACCAGCCAAAAUGGAACUGAGAACCGGUCCAGACUCCUACGGUAGGCAGGAGUGGGGAAUAUGCACAAUGGGCGCAAGUCCGAUGCAGCCAUGCCGCGUGUGUGAAGAAGGCCUUCGGGUUGUAAAGCACUUUCAGCGGGGAGGCGUUACCCGCAGAAGAAGGACCGGCUAACUCCGUGCCCGCCGCCGCGGUAAUAC